CAAAUUCAUUUCUUACAUACCACAUUACCUCGCUAACGUCAAUUGGACCAACCGGACUAUUUUUGGACCUCAGGAGGGGGAGAGUAGGUCAACGUGGAAAUCAACUGCCAACGAACGCGCUUGCUCCAGAUUCCCAUGUUCUUCGAUUGAGUAAAUUUCUACAUAUCACGUAGAACAUAGAUUGGAAACCAUCAUUGAAUAUAUGAAAGUGACUUGAUAUAUCAAAGAAAAUAAAUUUUGGUUGAGUGUUAUGACAAUAUUGGAAACAUUCCGACCAUCAUUAAACUAAAGAAUAUUUGAACUACCAAAAAAAAAGAAUUUGAAUGAAAGUUAUGACAAUG